UACGGGGGGGGCAAGCGUUGUUCGGAAUUACUGGGCGUAAAGGGCUCGUAGGCGGCCAACUAAGUCAGACGUGAAAUCCCUCGGCUUAACCGGGGAACUGCGUCGGAUACUGGAUGGCUUGAGUUUGGGAGAGGGAUGCGGAAUUCCAGGUGUAGCGGUGAAAUGCGCAGAUAUCAGGAAGAACACCAAUGGCGAAGGCAGCUCGCUGGGACGGUACUGACGCUGAGACGCGAAAGCGUGGGGAGCGAACAGG
rnacentral:rRNA from 1 species